GUCUUCAGAUUCUUCUAGCAGCAUAUGCAUACGAUCUCUACGAGUAUCCACAUAAAAUCUGAUCAGAUCAACCUUUCUAGAAUGCUAACUCCUUGCAGAGACUCUUGAUGGCUGAUCUCUAGAGGAAGAAAAGAUUUGUGGAAGAAGGCAAGGGAGAACUCUUUCUUUCUUGUUUUUUCUCUCAUUCAAAACCCUAGCACC
rnacentral:lncRNA from 1 species